AUUGAACGCUGGCGGCAUGCUUUACACAUGCAAGUCGAACGGUAACAGGCCGCAAGGUGCUGACGAGUGGCGAACGGGUGAGUAAUGCAUCGGAACGUGCCCAGUCGUGGGGGAUAACGCAGCGAAAGCUGUGCUAAUCCCGCAUACGAUCUGUGGAUGAAAGCGGGGGACCGAAAGGCCUCGCGCGAUUAGCGGGGCCGAUGUCAGAUUAGGGAGUUGGUGGGGUAAAGGCUCACCAAGCCAACGAUCUGUAGCUGGUCUGAGAGGACGACCAGCCACACUGGGACUGAGACACGGCCCAGACUCCUACGGGAGGCAGCAGUGGGGAAUUUUGGACAAUGGGCGCAAGCCUGAUCCAGCAAUGCCGCGUGCAGGAAGAAGGCCUUCGGGUUGUAAACUGCUUUUGUACGGAGCGAAAAGGCUCUCUCUAAUACAGGGGGCUCAUGACGGUACCGUAAGAAUAAGCACCGGCUAACUACGUGCCAGCCGCCGCGGUAAUAC
rnacentral:rRNA from 1 species